CGAUCCUGUGCAGACAGACGAAGAAGACGUCUGUCGCGCUGUGAUUGGACGGCGGUGUGUCGGGUUGCAGUCAUGGCGGAGCCCGGAGGAGGAACACAUACCGGAGCGUACUUUCACAAAGAAAGAAUCAAGUACAGCCCCGAGGAGGAGGCCAGGCUGGAGAAGCAGCACUUCUGGAGAAUAGUAGACGCGUUUAGAUUUUACAGGGCUCAUGUCCAGGAACAGGUCAAACGUGCUGAGCGUCAGUUUCGUAGUCUACCUCAGCGGCACCAGAACCUGCUGCCGAGCGUCAUGUCCAACCUGACCCGGAUCAGCCAGUGUGCGGACUGCAACCAGCAAGUGCUGCACGACAUCGUCCACAACAGUCUCCACAUGUUUGAGAACAUUGGAUAUGGUGAGCGGGAGGAUCCGAGGAAGGUGCGUCCGUCCUUCACGUCUACGUUUGACAUGGACAAGCUCAAGUCCACCAUAAAGCAGUUUGUCAGAGACUGGAGUGAGGCGGGUCAGGCUGAGCGGGAGUCCUGCUACCUGCCCAUCAUCCAACAGAUCCAAAGACUCUUCCCAAGUGACCAAUAUGAUGUGUCUAAGGUGAGCGUUCUGGUACCGGGUGCCGGGCUCGGCCGCCUCGCGUGGGAGAUCGCCCGACUGGGUUAUAUUUGCCAGGGCAACGAAUGGAGUCUCUUCAUGCUCUUCUCUUCAAACUUUGUCCUCAAUAGGUGUGAGAAGGUGAACGCUCUGACCCUGUACCCUUGGAUCCACCAGUUCAGCAACAACAAGAAAUCCUCCGACCAAACGCGACCGAUCCGAUUCCCCGACGUCAACCCUCAGAGCUUACCUCUCACUUCAGACUUCUCCAUGGUAGCAGGGGAUUUUGUGGAGGUCUACAGUGACACAGAUUCCUGGGACUGUGUGGCCACCUGCUUCUUCAUCGACACGGCUCAUAAUGUCAUCGAGUACGUGGAGACCAUCUGGAAGAUUCUGAAGCCUGGCGGAGUGUGGAUCAACCUGGGUCCUCUGCUCUAUCACUACGAGAACAUGGCCAACGAGCUCUCGGUCGAACUUAGCUUCGAAGACAUACGGACAGCGAUGGUGAAGUUUGGCUUCUGCCUGGAGGUAAAACCUUUGACGGUGAUUCACACGCUGACGUCACAGAUGUGUCUCCGCUGGUGAAGCAAUGUCCUCAUUGUGUCCUCAUGAUUUGUGCCAAUAACCUGCUCCUUUACAUCCAUCUGACGUCAUUGGUGAAAGCUUUUUCACGAUUGAGCUUUUUAAAAAUGAGUUUCUUUUCUUUUCUAAUCACACUUUUGAAUAAAGACAACGUUUUUUUGUUUGUUUUUUUUAAAAAUGUUCAUCUCCAGUAUUUUGAUAUGAAUUUACAGGCACACUUGAAUCCAUGAUUACACAACUCUACGCUUAUGUUAAUUCAUAUUUUAAUUUACUUCACCGUUUUAUUUCAUUUUAAAUAGUUAAAUGUUUGUUCUCAAAUUAAAGAUGAUUUUAAUUCUUACAGAACUUACAGAACUUUGAACCGAUUUUCAAGUCAGAUGUGUAUUUAUAGACGAUAUAAAACUGUACACGUGUAGGGUAUGGACGAAGAAGGAACAAUUGAUAUUAUUAUUUGUGGAUUAGAUAAACUGGACACUCUUAAAUUGACUGUAGGUGUGAGAGUGGGUGGUCGUUUGUCUCGUGGUGUCCCUGUGAUGGACUGUGACCCCGCCCACCUUUUGUCCUAUGUCAGCAGGGAUUGGCACCAGCGACCUCUGUGACCCUCAUGUGGAGGAUAACAUGCUUGAACACUGUGUUUCAAACGCAUUCACAGUUUAAACUUAAACUUUUUUUAAAGCGUUCUCUAAAACCCUGCAAAACUCACACACUGCAACUUUAAACACUUGAACCCGCCACAGGAAGAGUAAAGGAUGUGGGCGGGGACUAGCCAUCGGUGCUCUCCUCUGAUUGGUUAGCAAACCUCCUUCACUACACAUUCACUACCGGUGCUCUUUGUUUUCAUCCUGCGCGCACGAGCCACUGCACGAGCGCGCUUCUCUCGUGCGUAACUGUGUCAGUGAAUCACGUCAGAGCGGCGGCGCGUGUUUUGACGGCUCAUUUAAUGGCGAAGAGACGCGCGGACGAUUCUCCGCUGCUGCUGCACGCGCACGACUCUCCCUCCAAAAGACAGCAGCGGUCACUGUGCGCUGCUGCUGCUGCUGCUGCUGCGGGAAACACGCACCUGGAGACGGGUAGCCUCGGCUCUGCGGCCCCCAGGCCACCGUCCCCGGACUCCCCGCUGCCUGGCAACCGCCGCCUUAAAAGGCCGUACCACUUCCCCACGUGUCCAGAGCAGAAACACGAGGAGCCAAACACGGAUGUUUAUCUUCAUUGUAAAAGCACACACUGUGAAGCUUUGACGAUGCAGAGUCACGCUAAUGGAACCGUCCCGGGUCAUACCACCUCCACUUCAGACACAAGCCGCAACAAACGAGCACGAGAGGAAUCUGACACUCAUAUUCAAGAUAAAGAUGAAGAUGAAGAAGACUGUGCUUACAACUCCUUCCAGUACUGGAGGGUUCCGUUGCCUGAGCUCGACCUCUCGCUGCUAGAUGACGUCAUCGACCGUUCUCCCACAGAGCAGAGGUCAAAGGUCAAACAACAGGCAAACAUGAUGAUCAUGUGACGUGAUGCGUCGUUAACGCUCGGUUUGAUCACUGAUAACAAGGUUACGUGAGAUUUCAGCCUCACGUCUUUUAGAAAUAUGUCUCCGUUGUCUUUGUCCUGUGAGACCUGUCUCUCUCUCUCUGUCUCUCUCUCUGAAGCCAACAGUUUUAUAUACUGUGAUCAAUCUGUUCAAAUAUGACAGAAUUAAGCAGACAUAGGUUUAAAUAGAGUUCAUUAGCCUGUUCCCUCUGUUUGUGUGAGGCGGGGUCACAGCCUGGACAGACAGACAGACAGACAGACAGACAGACAGACAGACAGGUCACCAGUCCAUCACAGCUCCAUAAGAAUAAGAAUUAGUUGUAACAUGUUUAGUUGUAUUUCUUUAGCGUGUUACUAUGUUCAAACCUUCUGUGAUUUCCACAUAUUUAAUGUUGUGUAACUCAUUCCACUUUAUGUCUCUGGGUUGUUUCUGAUGUAGAAAAAAUAACCUUUGAAUAUGUGAACGUUCAAGACUCUGGUGUUUGACUUUGUUUUGGGAAUAAAAACUCGUUUUCUACACUUCUA